rnacentral:rRNA from 1 species
GCGUGUGUGAAGAAGGCCUUCGGGUUGUAAAGCACUUUCAGUAGGGAAGAAAAGCCUAGGGAUAAUACCCCUGGGUCUUGACGUCACCUACAGAAGAAGCACCGGCUAACUCUGUGCCAGCAGCCGCGGUAAUACAGAGGGUGCAAGCGUUAAUCGGAAUUACUGGGCGUAAAGCGCGCGUAGGCGGUUUGAUAAGUCGGGUGUGAAAGCCCCGGGCUUAACCUGGGAAUUGCAUUCGAUACUGUCAGGCUAGAGUAUGGUAGAGGGAGGCGGAAUUCCACAUGUAGCGGUGAAAUGCGU